GACGAACGCUGGCGGCGUGCCUAAUACAUGCACGUCGGACGCAGUUGCGAACGGGUGAGUAACGCGUAGGUAACUACCUAUUAGAGGGGGGCAACUAUUGGAAACGAUAGCUAAUUCCGCAUACUAGUAGAUGGUCCUGCGUUGUAUUGGCUAGUAGGUAGGGUAAUGGCGUACCUAGGCAACGAUACAUAGCCGACCUGAGAGGGGGAUGGGCCAAACAGGGACGGGGGAAACGCCGAGAAGCCUACGGGAGGCAGCAGUAGGGAAUCUUCGGAAAUGGGGGGAACCCGGACCGAGCAACGGCGGGUGAGUGAAGAAGGUGUUCGGAGCGUAAAGCGCUGUGGUGAAGGAAGCGGUACUUAACCAGAAAGGGACGGCUAACUACGUGCCAGCAGCCGCGGUAAUUC
rnacentral:rRNA from 1 species